rnacentral:tmRNA from 1 species
GGGGCUGCCCGGUUUUGACAGCAUAGGUCUUUGAAAGUAUAAGCAUGUCGUGCGUUGGGCAAUUAGCACGUUAAUCUGAAUGCUCAACAUUCAAAUGGCAAUACUCAGUAUGCCAUGGCUGCCUAAUCAGUGAUUAGAUAGUCAUUAGGGCCCUGCGGCAGGUUGACCUGUUACCAAGCUGCACCGCCGACUCAAAAUAAAUACAGGUUGCUGCAACGGAAGGCUGUGACCGUUGCUUAAGCCCAUCCAGCUAAGGAAAUGAUUGGUGCGCCCGGCUCCUGUCAUUUCCCGACAACCAAUGCCGGGCUAAGCAUGUAGAAAGCUUUUAACGAUCAUGUUUGGACAGGGGUUCGACUCCCCUCAGCUCCACCU